CAGUCGCCGCGGGAAUACGUAGGGUGCAAGCGUUAAUCGGAAUUAUUGGGCGUAAAGCGAGUGCAGACGGUUACUUAAGCCAGAUGUGAAAUCCCCAAGCUUAACUUGGGACGUGCAUUUGAAACUGGGUGACUAGAGUGUGUCAGAGGGAGGUAGAAUUCCACAUGUAGCGGUGGAAUGCGUAGAGAUGUGGAGGAAUACCGAUGGCGAGGGCAGCCUCCUGGGAUAACACUGACGUUGAGGCUCGAAAGCGUGGGGAGCAAACAGGAUUAGAUACCCCCGUAGUCCCUGUCUCUUAUAA
rnacentral:rRNA from 1 species